rnacentral:rRNA from 1 species
CACAACGACUCUCGGCAACGGAUAUCUCGGCUCUCGCAUCGAUGAAGAACGUAGCGAAAUGCGAUACUUGGUGUGAAUUGCAGAAUCCCGUGAACCAUCGAGUCUUUGAACGCAAGUUGCGCCCGAAGCGGUUAGGCCGAGGGCACGCCUGCCUGGGCGUCACGC